rnacentral:ncRNA from 5 species
GCUCUGACUUUAUUGCACUAC